GUCGACGUACUCCAUAGGAUCAUUUCUAUAGGAAUCGUCUCUCUUUGACUCUUCUAAAGAGCCACUGAAUCCAACUUGGUUGAUGAGGAUGAUACCUUUGUGCCCUAGAGUGAGAAUGAUUUAUUAUUUAGUUUGGCUGCGAUCCUUAGUGGUCUGGCCAUCUGCAAUCUAUAAGUCUAUUMCUUUCGACGUGGUUUUUGCAUUUAUGCUUAACUUAAAUGAAAGGAGCGAUGAUCUCUACCCUUGYUGUGUACUCCUUCGGGAGGGACUUCUUUGGGUGGGCGCAAAUGGCAGUCUGACAAGU
rnacentral:snoRNA from 1 species